CAUUUUAUUUGGACUUUGUAGUGCACAAUGUGAUGUGUCAGCAAUUGCUUUUCAGGAAUGAAGCACUUAGUUCCCUAAACUCUGAGAGUGCUACUGGAAGAUAGUCUGUUGUGAUUCACCCUUAUUGGGAAUUUUCUUGACUGAAGAAAACUACCUCAUCCAAAGCAACAAUCCCUUCCAUGGAUAGCCUGCAUCCAACAGCUCAUCAAUGGAAAGAUAUAAAUGCUUGCCUCCCUCACUCCAACUCAGCAUGAUUCUGAAGAACCAUUCUCAUUCAAAUGCUUACCAAGAAUUCAACUGGGGCCUUUAUUGAGAUUGUGACAGAGCUCAACCCUCCGCCCAAUCCAGCUUUCCUCCCUUCUCUUACACAGGAGAAAAGCUCAAGACACAGAUGUCCACACCCAACAACUAGCUAAUCUACUUUAAAUGCCAAAGAUGAAUACAAAAAAAGAAAAAGAAAAAGAAACUACAACUUUUAUCUGCAAUUUGACAGAGCAAAUUUUUAUGAAUGAAUCCAGAUGGCUACUCCAGUUGCCUUCCAGCAUAUGGACAAAGGUGAGAGUGAUUUUUUCUGAUAUGAUAUUCUGCUUUCUAGUUGGUGACAAAUAUUUUACCCCU